GAUGUCUGUUAAAGAGGGGAGACCGAAUGAGGGGCUAAUGAUGAUGCAGGAACUGGAUGAUCGCCUCAAAGAGCAGAUAGACAAGCUGGAACACAUCCGCCUCUCCGUCUUAGACCUCAAAGAUAACUUCUCCGGGAACUCUGCAAAGGACUUGAAACAGUCCAUUGCUGAACACGUGGACUGGUUGAGCCAUCUUACCGAGCGGGUGGAGACACUCCAGAUGAACACGUCUGUGUUUGUCCAGAUGAACACUAAGCCACGAUCCUGGAAAGGCAAGCAGGGCCUCCGGCAGUCUGCCCGCUGGGGUCGGUCACACCUGGCUGAGGACGCCCAGUCUGAGUAUGGAUGGUCCCCCAUUCGUACCCGACGCAACAGUGAUGCUGCCUCAGAGAUGUCCUGUGCCUGGUAA
rnacentral:lncRNA from 1 species